rnacentral:rRNA from 1 species
GCCUGAUGGAGGGGGAUAACUACUGGAAACGGUAGCUAAUACCGCAUAACGUCGCAAGACCAAAGAGGGGGACCUUCGGGCCUCUUGCCAUCGGAUGUGCCCAGAUGGGAUUAGCUAGUAGGUGGGGUAACGGCUCACCUAGGCGACGAUCCCUAGCUGGUCUGAGAGGAUGACCAGCCACACUGGAACUGAGACACGGUCCAGACUCCUACGG